rnacentral:misc_RNA from 1 species
AAGUCGUAACAAGGUUUCCGUAGGUGAACCUGCGGAAGGAUCAUUAUCAUAACGUAUCCACGUAUAAACCAAUCUUUAAUGUGAAAUGUAAUGUAAAACACCUUUGAUAGUCAAUGAUUGCUAUUUAGUUUCUACUUCUUAUUGAUUAAGGGAACUAGAUGGACUUGAUCUUUACCGAUCUAGCAUUGAUUAUUGAAUGUAAUUAUUAAUCAAUUUAUUAACCCAUUGAACCGAUUAACUUAUUAUUAGUUAUUCAUUUCUUUUAUUGUGAACUGAAUUGUUCUUUACUCUUCGGGUAAUACCAAAGAGAUGGAAUUAUAUUUACGAAACAUAAAUUAUGAACAACUCUUAGCAACGGAUAUCUUGGUUCUCGUAACGAGGAAGAACGCAGC